rnacentral:rRNA from 1 species
GACGAACGCUGGCGGCGUGCCUAAUACAUGCAAGUCGAACGAGAGCGACCGGUGCUUGCACUGGUCAAUCUAGUGGCGAACGGGUGAGUAACACGUGGGUAACCUGCCCAUCAGAGGGGGAUAACAUCGGAAACGGAUGCUAAAACCGCAUAGGUCUUCGAGCCGCAUGGCUUGAAGAGGAAAAGAGGCGCAAGCUUCUGCUGAUGGAUGGACCCGCGGUGCAUUAGCUAGUUGGUGAGGUAACGGCUCACCAAGGCCGUGAUGCAUAGCCGACCUGAGAGGGUGAUCGGCCACAUUGGGACUGAGACACGGCCCAAACUCCUACGGGAGGCAGCAGUAGGGAAUCUUCCGCAAUGGACGCAAGUCUGACGGAGCAACGCCGCGUGAGUGAAGGAGGUUUUCGGAUCGUAAAACUCUGUUGUUAGAGAAGAACAAGUGCUAGAGUAACUGUUAGCGCCUUGACGGUAUCUAACCAGAAAGCCACGGCUAACUACGUG